rnacentral:rRNA from 1 species
AACGAACGCUGGCGGCAGGCCUAACACAUGCAAGUCGAACGCUCCGCAAGGGGAGUGGCGCACGGGUGAGUAACACGUGGGAACCUACCUUCUGGUACGGAACAACCAAGGGAAACUUUGGCUAAGACCGUAUACGACCUCCGGGUGAAAGAUUGAUCGCCGGAAGAGGGGCCCGCGUCCGAUUAGGUAGUUGGUGAGGUAACGGCUCACCAAGCCUUCGAUCGGUAGCUGGUCUGAGAGGAUGACCAGCCACACUGGGACUGAGACACGGCCCAGACUCCUACGGGAGGCAGCAGUGGGGAAUAUUGGACAAUGGGCGCAAGCCUGAUCCAGCCAUGCCGCGUGAGUGACGAAGGUCUUCGGAUUGUAAACUCUUUUGGCGGGACGAUAAUGACGGUACCCGUAGAAUAAGCCCGGCUAACUUCGUGCCAGCAGCCGCCGU